rnacentral:rRNA from 1 species
GAUGAACGCUGGCGGCGUGCCUAAUACAUGCAAGUCGAGCGAACGGACGAGAAGCUUGCUUCUCUGAUGUUAGCGGCGGACGGGUGAGUAACACGUGGAUAACCUACCUAUAAGACUGGGAUAACUUCGGGAAACCGUAGCUAAUACUGGAUAAUAUUUUGAACCGCAUGGUUCAAAAGUGAAAGACGGUCUUGCUGUCACUUAUAGAUGGAUCCGCGCUGCAUUAGCUAGUUGGUAAGGUAACGGCUUACCAAGGCAACGAUGCAUAGCCGACCUGAGAGGGUGAUCGGCCACACUGGAACGUAGACACGGUCCAGACUCCUACGGGAGGCAGCAGUAGGGAAUCUUCCGCAAUGGGCGAAAGCCUGACGGAGCAACGCCGCGUGAGUGAUGAAGGUCUUCGGAUCGUAAAACUCUGUUAUUAGGGAAGAACAUAUGUGUAAGUAACUGUGCACAUCUUGACGGUACCUAAUCAGAAAGCCACGGCUAACUACGUG